AUUGAACGCUGGCGGCAGGCCUAACACAUGCAAGUCGAGCGAGCGGCGGACGGGUGAGUAAGGUCUGGGAAACUGCCUGAUGGCGGGGGAUAACUACGGGAAACGGUAGCUAAUAACGCAUACAAGCCGAUGUGCCCAGAUGGGAUUAGCUAGUAGGUGGGGUAAUGGCUCACCUAGGCGACGAUCCCUAGAUGGUCUGAGAGGAUGACCAGCCACACUGGAACUGAGACACGGUCCAGACUCCUACGGGAGGCAGCAGUGGGGAAUAUUGCACAAUGGGCGCAAGUCUGAUGCAGCCAUGCCGCGUGUGUGAAGAAGGCCUUCGGGUUGUAAAGUACUGUCAGCGAGGAGGCGUUACUCGACCAGGAAGCCCCGGCUAACUCCGUGCCAGCAGCCGCGGUAAUAC
rnacentral:rRNA from 1 species